rnacentral:rRNA from 1 species
ACGGGUGAGUAACGCGUAAAGAACUUGCCUCACAGUUAGGGACAACAUUUGGAAACGAAUGCUAAUACCUGAUAUUAUGAUUUUAGGGCAUCCUAAGAUUAUGAAAGCUAUAUGCGCUGUGAGAGAGCUUUGCGUCCCAUUAGCUAGUUGGAGAGGUAACGGCUCACCAAGGCGAUGAUGGGUAGCCGGCCUGAGAGGGUGAACGGCCACAAGGGGACUGAGACACGGCCCUUACUCCUACGGGAGGCAGCAGUGGGGAAUAUUGGACAAUGGACCAAAAGUCUGAUCCAGCAAUUCUGUGUGCACGAUGACGUUUUUCGGAAUGUAAAGUGCUUUCAGUUGGGAAGAAAAAAAUGACGGUACCAACAGAAGAAGUGACGGCUAAAUACGUGCCAGCAGCCGCGGUAAUACGUAUGUCACAAGCGUUAUCCGGAUUUAUUGGGCGUAAAGCGCGUCUAGGUGGUUAUGUAAGUCUGAUGUGAAAAUGCAGGGCUCAACUCUGUAUUGCGUUGGAAACUGCAUGACUAGAGUACUGGAGAGGUAAGCGGAACUACAAGUGUAGAGGUGAAAGUCAUAGAUAUUUGUAGGAAUGCCGAUAGGUAAGCCAGCAUACUGGACAGAUACUGAGGCUAAAGCGCCUCGCGAUGGGUCACAGACACGAUUGGACACCACUGCUGAGUCAUCAACAGUG